rnacentral:lncRNA from 1 species
UUGCAUCUAAGUCCCAAACCCUCUACAAAACCAUUUUUAAUCUCUAUCAGUGCUUCAAUUUCAUCCGUCAAUCUCCAAACCCUCUUCAAAGUUUUCUCAAGAAAACACAUAUUCAGUCACUAAAAUCUUAUACAUAGUCAAAAAUGGUGAAAAAACAUAGUACUCCAAAACGACAAAAAGUAGCCGAUAUUCCAUCAUUUGAUUUGGGUGUUUUAACACCUAAAUCUCCAAUAAAAAGACAACAAUCUGUCCAUGCAAGUGGAAAAGAAAGGGUUCCUGCAUCGCCGAGACAAAUCAGAGCUGAAACUCGUCCAAA